AUUGAACGCUGGCGGCAUGCCUUACACAUGCAAGUCGAACGGCAGCGGACCUUCGGGUGCCGGCGAGUGGCGAACGGGUGAGUAAUAUAUCGGAACGUACCUUUCAGUGGGGGAUAACGUAGCGAAAGUUACGCUAAUACCGCAUAUUCUGUGAGCAGGAAAGCAGGGGGAUCGCAAGACCUUGCGCUGAUUGAGCGGCCGAUAUCAGAUUAGCUAGUUGUGAGGUAAAGGCUCACCAAGGCGACGAUCUGUAGCGGGGUCUGAGAGGAUGAUCGCCACACUGGAACUGAGACACGGUCCAGACUCCUACGGGAGGCAGCAGUGGGGAAUUUUGGACAAUGGGCGCAAGCCUGAUCCAGCCAUGCCGCGUGAGUGAAGAAGGCCUCGG
rnacentral:rRNA from 1 species